UGUAUGAUGUGUGGUAUGUGGUGUGUGUGGUGUGGUGUGUGUGGUGUGUAUGGUGUGUACUGUGUGCUGUGUGUGCAUAUUGUGUGAUGUGUCCAUGACCACUCUACACAGCGCGGCCCCGACCUGGCAGUGGGUGACUUGCUGAGGGGCACGAAGAGGGGAGAGUGGUCUGGGGUCUGUGCCCUCCACGCGCUCUCCUGGUGCCUGAACAUCUCCUGGGGAGUCGGGUCGUUUGGUCUCCUCCAGCGCUGCUGAGAAUGAGGAUCUCCGAGGUGUCAGCCCUUAGGACCAAUCAGCCAGUCCGCUCCCCUCCCCGGGGCAGAGGUGGGGCCUGAGUCAUUUUUUUUGCAAUAACAUUUGUGGAACUUAAAGACAAAAUCCUUCAUAAAAGAAUCAUAAAGUGUAAUCACGGCAAUGAAGCCGGCUUGAGUGGAGGGGAGGUGACCUUUCCGGCCACUCUCUGGAGGAAAUGUCACCCAGGAAGAACAGGAGGUGGGGGCCUUGCCUCCAAGGAGAGCCUCCCUGCUGGUCUGGGCUUGGCGGGGUGGGGGCAGCCUCCUAUGGGGGCACCCUGGCUGCUGCUCAUGGGACCCUCCCCCUGUGACAGAGCAGGACGCCCCGGGCCCGCCGCUGACCGGUCUGGAGAGGAGAUAUUUUCCUUGCUCCAGUGUAGAUGGCUGGACCUCACUGGAGGCCUCCCCGCCUCUGGCCUGCUGUGUUCUUGCCUUUCUGGGGGACGGUGUCCCUGCUUGGGCAGAGCCCCUGACUCCAGGCCUGCUCCAGGCUGAGGAUCUCUGGGGCCUGUGGCAUUCCGUUAGGCUCUGGACAGGCUGGGUGUCUGCGCCAGCAGGCAACUUCCCUGCAGGCGGUGCGUCCGGGCUGCCAAGAUUCCCCUCCGUUUGAGCCUCAUUCUCCACCUGGAGAGGCAUGGGGGCUCCAGAAAACCUCAGCAAAUGAGGGCUUUCCGGGCUGGAGUUGGUCUCCGAUAAGCCGAGGGGCUCCCACGACCUGGGGGGCUCCAGGCGGCCCACACCGUGGAUGUCUGUCCUUGGUCACGUGUCAGCACCAUGGGCACCUGGGUGCUCAGCAGGACCAGCAGGCUGGGCUGCAGAGACUGCCGGCUCCCAAGUGCUCCGUUGGCCAGAGCUGUCAGCCAGGGUGUGUCGUGGUGUCUGGGGUGUGCACCCUGGGGUGGCGUCUUCUCUUCAGGUCCCGUGGUUUACAUACCAUUUCCAUGACCCUGACUUCACAGAGCCCCACCCAGCUCUGAUGCCCACCACCCUGGCAGAGUGGGGUCUGGGCCCUCUGCAGAGCUGUGGACUUGGGGAGCAUCCUUCCCCCGUAUUAUCUGCCCCAUCUACGGGAGGAGGCCGCAUAAGGCAAGCCAGUGCCACCAGCCCAGGGCAGUUCAGGCUAUGUCCCCACUCCACGGCCAGUCCUGGGUUUGCCAGGGACUCCAUCAGCCCGUCCCUCGAGGUGACAUCUGACAAGGCAGCAGUUUGUUGAAAUAUGCAGACCUCUGCACCACAUGCUAAUCUGGGCUUUGUUCAAAUGAGCUGCAGCACCAGGAGGGUGCAAUGGCGCUAACCGCAUCAGCACCAUGCCAGCUUCCUCCCAGGGGCAGAGAGCGGCACAGCCGGCUAGGUGCUUUGCGUUUCCACCCACCUUCUUAAGGCCCGAUGUGCACUAUGCACUCACUCUGGAUUUGCUGCGUCCCUACGUGCCUGCGGAGGAGGGUGUGUGUGGGUCUCAGUCCCCACUCCAGGCCACGGGGACGCUGACUUGGAGGAAUUGUUGAGUUCUGGCUGUUACCACGAUCUAGGUGAGGCCUGCAAACGAGGUGUGGCCUGGGGUCCCACACUGCCUCUGAGGUGAGAGAGCCCUGGGAGGGAUCCUGAAGUAAGCCAGACUCGGGGCUGAACUCUGCAUCUCGUCUCACCUCCUGCCGCCAGGCCCUAAAGGUGUGAAGGAAGGAUGCUGAGCGCACCUGCUUUUCCGCGGACAGCAGCUGCCUCUCCUUUGCUCCAUGGCAGGAGCAGUCCAGCCAGCCAGUGGCUCAGUCAGCAGACAGAAGGACUCUCAUGGACACCAUGACUUCCACCAUCUCCGGAUGGAUUCCUGGACCAUGAGGUUCUAAGCGAGCCUUCAGGUUUGGAGAAACUGGACCGUAUUUGUGGGAGACAGCGUUCUCCCUCCCUCUUGCUCCGCCGUCGCUUCGGUCUUUCCGCCGCUCACUGAAGUGUGCCAUCCAGACCAUGCCAUGCUGCCACUGGGCCUAAGGCCUCUGGUCUCUGAAUUCCUUGGCACAGUGUUCCUGGUGCCCCUGCCUCAGUGGGGGCUGGAUGUGCCCCGGGCCACGGCACUCAUAGGGCACUGUUGCGAUUGCAAGUAUUUGGCUGUUCCCUCACCUGAGUGAGACGCCCAUGAGGGCAGCAACCCUGUGUCUUGUAUCUCCUAAUGCCUAGUGGAUAGCUCAGCACACAGUGGGUGCUUAAUGAAUGUUUCUGGGUUAUGCAGUGAUUACUUUGAACCCAGCUGCUGCUCACAAUCUCUUUGGAGUUAGGUUGGGUGUUAUUGAACAUCCUGUGUUGGCACUGGGAGAGGUGGAGGCUUCUGGGGCUGCCUGUGUCUUCAGGACCCUAGCUAUUCCUGGGAAGACAGGGCCGACACCCAGAAAUAAUGCGGGACCAGUACCACGUGGGCUCUCAGGUGUGGAGACGGCUGGGCAGGUACCUUGGGCGCAGGAGAGAGGAGGGGAAAUAACUGCGGUUACCUAGAGCCCCAUAGAGGUUGCCGCCUGGGCACCUGAGAGACCCCAGGACACCGUCCCCAUGGCCCGUCCCAGUUAGAGGCUCUUUGUCAACAGAUGCCCCUGGAGUCUGGCAGGGCAGAUUAAUACGUGAAUGGGUGGGUGAAGGUGUGAGUGCCGCUCGCUGUAACUUGGCUGGGUUCUGCCACCCUAGGGAAGGGGAGUGCCGCGAUCUGUGAGCCUCAAGCAGGUCCCACCCAACGGAGCUGCUCCUGAGGCUCUGGGUGGCCAGGCCUGUCACUGGGUGAGAGGAGAGCCAGGGGCAUGCUCCGUUUUGGAGCUGGCCCUCCCACCCCAUCAUGGGCACAGCCUGGGCGGGCAGCCUGGAGGAGCAGGUGGGCUCCCUGAGUCGGGCGGAGGGCUCCCCUUCAGCCUGGAAGAAGCGUGCCUCCCCAUGGGGACUGUGCCUGCACGUGGCCAGCGGGCAGAGUCCACUCCUUGGUCAGCACUUCACUGCAAGUGCAUUCCCAGCAGCUGAGGCGCCCAUCCCGGCGUGCGCUGACAGCAUUGUCAGUCCUCAUUUUGUGCCUGCCUGUCCCAGGGCAAGGUGGCCUGAGUCCACUGCAAAGUCCUUGAUUAAUUCAGCAGACACACUGAGCUGAGCACUGGAUGGCCCUUGGAGGUCCCUCAGUGACCAUCGGACACUGCCCUAUCCGCUUGGAGCUUGUGGGGGAGAGAAUCCCAUUGAGAAGAGCUCCCUCCUCAAACAGAGUGUGUGGACGUCCCUGUUUUUCUCAACUUGCUGGGUAGCCCAUGGCUGUGGGACAAGAGAUACGGAUGAUGUGAACUGCUGAGCAAGUGACGUGUAUCCAGCGAGCUUUGGGGAAAUCCGGAGAGUGGGAGGGUGUGGCCCGGCAAGUCCUCCUCCUACUUCCCAUCUGUGAGGGUCCGCAGGAUGGGGGGCUCACCUCCAUCCCUCCAGGUGCCCAGCACUCAUGGUCCACACUCAGAUGCCCCUCUGCAGUGCUGGAAAGACUCACUAGGCUAUGUGCUGUUUCGGGAGGGUUGAGUCCCGAAGUCACCGGCUCUGGUCACUUUGAGGGGGCCCCACCCUCUCGUGCGGGAAGGACGACAGCGGAUGGCCACAAGCUGUUACUACCAACUGCCUUGACUCCGUUCAGCAAGGAUUGAAAAUAGCCAGUUGGCCAGACUCAAUCUUUGUCUUGUUUUAAAAGAGUUUGUUUUUCCAGACUCUGUCCAAGUCUGUUUUAAUCCACCCAAAGAGGAGCUAAGUUUGAUAAAUAAAAGAAGAUUAAAAAUGGUAGAGAAAAAUGUGUUUUCCCCCCAGCUCCCAAGAGAGUACUGCCAAAAUUGAAGUGUAGAAACAAAAAUAGAAAUGAUCAAAACGUCUGAUGGUAUCUAUAUUUUCAAAUGAAAAGGCAGAGGGAGUCUUUCAGCCGAACCACUUACGGGAAAAUCCGGCGGGCCUGGGAGCUCACCUCGGCUCCUCUGCGCCUGGUGGGAGUCAGGACCGGAAGCUCCUCUCUCUGCUGGUGGGCCUCAUGCUGUGGAUUGAGGGGGUCCCUGAGUUGUUCACGGGGCUGGGAGAGUUGCUUUGGAACAAUCAGGGGAGCACUUGGGACUUCAGGGGUCCCUUGGGAUCCAGCCUUUCCCCAGGUGUUUCCAUUCCUUUGUAGGAGGGGAAGUGGGGACACCUUUGUGAUGCCAUGUCAGCCCAAGCCUGGAGCCCUCGCACUGGGUAAGAGAUGGGGGGAGACGGGCACCAGUCAUGGUUGCUGGGCCAGAGCUGGAGCGGCCGGGAGACUCUUCACUGUGCAAUAGCGACAGUAAUGGGGAGAGCCGCUCAUAUUCACGGGUGCUGCAUUAUGUUGUGGCCCUUGGUUUGCCACUUUAGGGACAUUAUCUGAUUUCAUGGCAACCUCGUAAGCCAGUGACUCUCAGAGUGGGGUCCCAGUGGUCCUGGCACAGCCUUGGGGGCGUGUUAGGAAUCCCAUCUCUGGCCCCACUCAGACCUGUGGAGUCCGACGCUCUGGGAUGGGCCUCAGCGUCUCCGUCUCUCUCCGGAGGACUCUGAGUGUGACGACUGCUGCUGCAUUUCACACGUGGAGAAGGUUGGAAAUGUCACCGUUAACUAAUGAGCCCAGCAUCCCAUGGCUAACCGGUGACAGCACCGGAGUGGAAAUAGGGUGGUCUUGACUGAGAACCUGCCCUGAGUCCCGGCCCUGCCCUCCAGUCCUGACCCUGCCCUCCGGCCCCAGCACCGCCCUCCAGGCCCGGCACCACCCUCCAGUCCCGGCCCUGCCCUCCAGUCCUGACCCUGCCCUCCGGCCCUGGCCCUGCCCUCCGGCCCCAGCACCGCCCUCCAGCCCCGGCACCGCCCUCCAGUCCUGACCCUGCCCUCCGGCCCUGGCCCUGCCCUGUUCUGCGACGUGUUCUUUCUGCCUGCAUCUUCGGAGGUCCUGGGAGUGGGGAAGGUGACCCUGGGCCCCACCCCAGUGAACAUGGCAGCUGGUGCUACAGGUGCACAGGCCCAUCUUCAGGUACAGGAGGCCUGGGGGUGCCUGAUGGGGAUCCGACCCUGUGGGGCUUUGUCCAGUGUCUCUGUGCACACAUGUGGGUGUUGACACCCAGUGCAAUUGCUCUUUCUCUUAAGUGAGCAUAGCGAGGAAGAUGGCUGGAAAUGCCGUGUGCGGCUGCAGUUCCGAAGCUGCUCGCCUCUCUGGGUCAUUGUCUCCCUGCCCUCCUGCUCCCUCGCCCCGCCGACCAUGGAGAUGACCUGUCCUGCCAUGCCCUUUAGCAGGAGCUUGGGUUUCCAGCCAGUCUAUAUUUUUCGAGAUUGGGUGCCUGUCUCUGGAACAAACCAGAAACUCAGGGCUCGCAGUGGUGUUCGGGACUCUGAGUCAGCAGUGGUGGCUUUGACCGUGGUCUGUGGGUCGGCUACAGUGGGGUCAGACUGGACCCCAGGCUCCGGGCUCCAGGGCAGGGGAGUGGAGUAGGGGGAGCUUUGCUGCUCUCGGCAGGCUGGGCUCCAGGUGGUGGGUUGGGUUCAGGGCGGCACUUCACAGGGACAGGCCCAGCCUCAGAACCACAUCACCGCCAUCCCCUCCAGGUCACGAAAAUCCCACUGGCUCAAGCAGACCACAUGGCCAAGCCCGGCAUCAGCCCAGGUGAGGGCAUGCGUGAGAGUUUUCCCAACAGUUGCCUAACAGUCAAAGUCUUUUAUCUCCUGACCCCUUCAAUCCAGUUCCCUGUACUACCUGGCAUACAGCAGGUGCUUAUUAAAUGCUUGGCCCGCUGCUGGACUAAAGUCAUUUGGUUUCACUGAACUCAUCGUCUUUCUGGGAAUGAUAUUACAAGAAGCCUUCACACCCACGCUGGAAGAACCUUUUGGCCAAGGAGAAGUUCUUUAAUAGUGAUCAAAUUGAUCUAAAGAAGAGUUUUCCCACAUGAAAUGUGAAUUCAUUGGCAUGAAAUGACAGUCAGUUUCAUCAUAAAUUGUCUCCUGAGUAGUAAUAGGAAGAGUAAACAUGUACCACAUCUUUCUCAAAUGGAAUGAGCCUAGCUUCCAGCCAAAGGCAGGAUUCAUGAUCCCAUUUCUCUGCUUUGAUUCUCUUUAGAAAUAUAGUCACCAAAAGUUAAUUGCCAAGUAGUCUGCAGUGUGUAGACGCCGAGGGCUUUCAGCCCAGGCCUGAUACUGAUACCUGCUCAUCAGCACAUUUGAAUUACGGGGACCAUCAAUAAAUGCCUGGAACGUUGUGAGCUUCAGGGACAUGAAGUCCAUUUACCACCAGGCAGCUGGCGGCCAGCACCAGAUCCGUGCUCUUCUGAACUUUGGUGUAGCAAAUGAUUCUGCAUGCCUUCCAGAAAGUGGCUCUAAUUUGAAUUUAAAUCGUAUUCAUGGUAUUCGCGUGGUGGCGUUUGGAGGAGGGGACACCAUGGCAGUAACAAGCAGGAUGCAGGGACUCAGCAGAAGCAGGCGCAGGUACCUCCCAGGGGCCCACCCGCUCCUGUCAGACUGCGGUGGUCCUGCCUGUCCUGCUUUUGGAGAUGACUGCCCCAGAUGGUGUGGCAGGGCCAGGGCCAGGCUUUGGGCUUCGGGACCAGGCAGAGCCGGGUUGGGCUUCAUCUUCCACACCAACUGCUGUGUGGCCUGGAGUGGUGGUCAGAGCUGUGGCACCUGUGCACAUUGAGUACAAGCAUGGGCCCCUGCCCAGGUCUGAGGACUAUGUUCGGAGAUGGAUGAAAAGGCCAGGCCCCCUGCUAGCAGUGCCAGACACCCUCGGGAACUGGACCUGUGGUCCUGGGCAUUCAUUGCCAGCUUGCUCUGCACCAGGCGAGGUCUGAAUGAUUUCCUUGCAGUGACGCAGUCAUCCCUGAGGCCACCCUGCCAAGUACUGUCACAUCCCUCUCUUAAAGAGAAACCGAGUCACAGGGUAUUUCAGUAACUGAGAACAUUAAGUGACCUGAAUGUGGCAAAGCUGGCUUGUACCAGAAGCUGGGAACUUUGGGGCAUGCUGGGCGUGGGUGUAGCAGCCUCUCUGUGUCCACCCGAGGUGGCCCUGCCCUGUUUCCACACACAGCCUGCCUAGAGCUAGAGAAGGCUCCAGGCGUUGAGUGCUCAGCUCCAGGAGCUGGGCAGACGGCGCACCUGACCAGGAUAAGGUGUAGGUCUGGGAGAACGGGGUCAGUGCAGGCCACAGGUGAGGGCAGGUGCAGAUAGGAGCGCCAUGAGAGGGCAGUGAGAGGGUAACGGCUUCCAGGCUGGCAUGUGGGCCUGUCGUGCACCUUUCCCACAGACUGGUCAGAGGUGCUCAGCAGGUCCCUGGAUGCCUCCCUGGGAGUAAGCUAAGAGGUCAUGUCUGGAUGGAACCAGAUGUGAGGGCUUUGACCCCCACAGAGCCAGGUGCCCCUGGGAAAUGCCAGCAUUGUGUGAAGGAGUGUCUUGUACCAAAGCAGAUAUCCCCGGCCCCCCACCCUCAUCCCACAGUUCCUAGCAGGUUCCAUUGGCUUCCAAACUGGAUGCCACUGGAUCCUCCCAAGGUCGCUUCGCAGGUUGGAACCUGUGGCUCAGAGGUGAGGCAGUUUGCCUGGAACCACACAGUGGCUGGGUGUGGAGUCCGGACAAGGUGCAUCCUGAUCCAGGGCCCCCUACUCUGAUCUGUGAGUGUCUGGGCUCCAAAAAGCUUUCUCUGACCUUCUUGUUCUUGGGAAAGAGUGGUGCCUCCAGGAUUCAGGCCUGAGUCAUGCCUGGGACCAUGUGGAUCCCUUUCAUUCCUGUGUUACCUGGGGGUGAGGCAGAGGUUCCUGGUCCUGCUUUGGGCAUCAUAAGACGGGCUGUUGUGGUGUCCCCUCCCCGCCAGGGCUGCUCUGAGGGCACCCCUGGGGAGCAUCAUGCAAAGUCCUCCGCGCCCCUCUGGGGCACAGGGUGGGGUCCCUCCCUGUGGUGUCUCAGUGAGCAGGAGGCAGGCACAGUAUGAAUGUGGCCUCUGACAGCACAGCCAUGCUGAAGACCCCUCAGCCCGGGCUCCUAGGGCCCCUGACCCUGGCCUGGACAAGGCUGGGCCUGGAGCACCCUGGAAGGCAGAGAGCCCCCCGGGUCAGUGCUUCUGAACUUGGAGGAAAACACCAGCUGAGGGCUGGGCAGCUCAGCUCUGACCCGGACACCUGGCACGGCCUUGGCAGGUACCCGCCCCGUCUCAGCCCCAAUGUCAAGAGCAGACCCGUAUCCUCUUCUCUCACCUCCUGGGCAAGGACACCACCAGUGAAAGGCUUGCAGGAACUGCAUGAGCUGCAUGAGCCCCCCGGGAUGGGACCAGGUGAUGGUGGCUCGCUGGUUUUCCAGGCACACACGAAGGGGCCGAGCCCAUCAAGAAUUCCGCUCCAGAGCUCCUUGAUAUUUGGCUUAAAGUUCAGCUCUAAAUAUAGACCCGUUGGGGUCUGUCACAAAUGUUUUCUUGAGGGGUCUGUGAUGAUGUGCGUGGGGUCCUAAGGGGGGCAGGGUUCUAGCGCCCACCCCCCUCGUGGUCUGCGGCGCUGAUGGAAGCAGGUGCAGGAGGGGAGACGGGGGGCCAAGGAGACUCUCUGGCAAGUGCUGCCUUCUCUCCCCUCCCGAAAGACCCUUCUCAGGAGAGCUGCGCCUCUGCCCCACCUGCUCCCCUGGCUGACCCAGGACCCACCUGCCAUCCUGAGCGUUCCCGUGGCAAGUGUGGGCGUGGCCGCUGUUGGUAACGGAGGAGUGAGAUCAAAUGAAUAGCCUCUGAGCCCCUGGUGGGAGUUGGGAGCCCCGUGGAAAACUGACUGAGAGCGCGGGCCCCUGCGGGAAGGUGGUGCUGGCCCCACGCCCCGCGGUGGCCGUCCUGCUCUGACUGUCCUCCCGGCAGGAAGCAUCCUCCAGUGUUCCCUCUGCUGUGUUCUGUCACCGCAGCUGUGUGGCUGCAGCCUGUGCACUGUGAGCCUGCCUUGGAUGGGCUCCUGGGGACCACCAGAGAGCCCCUCCCAAGAAGUCGCCAGUCACAGCGGACCCCACCUAGCUCUUCUGCCAUGGAGAAGGAUCCAUACCUGCCUGCCUUGGGCGAGCUGCCUUUGCUUGCUGGUGUCCUGGGGCCUGGCUGCUGCUACCCAGGAGCCGGGCUCUGGGCAGGGAGGAGGGCUUCCUGGAGGCAGCGGCAGAAGUCUGUUGAUCCGAAGCCCUCAGGAAACCUUCUUAGGGGGUCUUGUUUAGGAAACAAAUCCCUCUGCUGAUGUAGCUGCUGGCUGACUGUCAGCGCUGCCUGCUGUGGGAAGCCCUUAUGAGCGUGUACAUCCUCUCUCGGGGUCCUGCAGGCCACGCGGUGGGCAGCCUGCUCUCCCUGGGUCAGGACACGGAGACUUCACAGCCCAGCAGACCCCACGCCCAUGCCCAGCUCUGCCUAAAUGGAUCGAUUAUCUGGAAACCCCGUCGAGGGGCUCGGAAUUGCGGGCAGGGUGGGAGACCCCCUCUGGAGGGGUCCCUGUAGAUUAGCUUGGCUUACUUGAUUCAUUGAUUUUGUCAAGGGUCCGUUUAUCACACUGACAACUGGAAAAACCUUAAAUAAAUAUUUAUCAUCUGCCGAGGGGCCCGGCCAGGCUCCCAGGGAAGAGGAGGGGCAGCUGGGAUUGCACCUACAUGGGGCUUCCCAGGCUCACCCCGAGGGAAGAGGCCCAGAGCCAGCCCUGGGCACUGAGCCCCUGGUUUCCCGCUGUUGUGAUGGCCCUGCCUGCAUUCCCUGCAGAAUACCCCGGAGACUCCGGCCUGGGGCUGAUCUGAGGGGGUGCUGGUUCCCAUCCACCAGGUCACAGGCAGCGGAGUACCCCGGAGACUCAGGCCUGGGGCUGAUCUGAGAGGGGCCUCGUUCCCAUCCACCAGGUCACAGGCAGAGGUUGGUCUGCCUACUGCUCAUUCAUUCGUUCAUUCGUGUGUCUUUCACCCCAAGAGCCCGCCCCUCGUCUCCCACCGCCAUGCCCCACACGGGCUCAGCUCCGGCCCUGCUGUUGCCUUCGUCUGGAAGCUUCCUCUCUAGACAUCCUCCUGACUUGUGUGAUCCCGGCUUCCCUCAGAUGCCCAAAUGCCACCUCCUCAGGGGAGCCCUCCUGGACCACCUUGACUCCACAGGCCCCCCGCUCUGUGCCUCUCCUGCCUGGCUCGCUCUGUCUCCGUGGAGGCCCCCAUACCCUGGCUUUGUGCUAUGGACAGUGGUUCCUGUGCCCUCCGUGUGCCCCCGCAGACCCGGGUCGGUCUCAGCUCUGUUCCCGGCUGCAUUCCCGGUACCCUGACGAAGGACAGACUGCCUGGAGGCACCCGAGCCAGAGGGAAUAGGAUGGAGGGAGGGAAGCAGGAUGCAGGCUUCCCUGGUUGCACGCACUGGACACCCAGGAGGAGGCUGCGGUCAUGGGGAGAUCUGUGCCAGCGACAGGAUGGUGGGAGAGGGUGAGGAGGCAUCCCAGGGAUGAGUCCUGGGGCAGGGCUGGGAGGGGACAGAUCACCAGGCACCACUGUCCUUAACUCUGUCCCCCACCCGGGGCCCAGACGCGUUCUGGAAGGUUCUUACAGUGUCUCUGAGCGUACAUCCAUGCCCGUCGUGGUGUAGGCCUGUCUGCCACCCAGGGCUCUCUGUCCAGGCCAGUGGUGCCUUCCCUGUCUGCCUGACUUGGGGCGCAGCCCUGACAUGCCCAGGCCCUCCUCCGUUCAGCCUGUGGCCUCUUUUUGCUGGGAGGGCUUGUCAAGGCCCCUGGAAUCCAACCGAGAACUUGACGAUGGAGGAUGUUUAAUGCUCAGUAAGUGAUCACUGUCCACCUACCCAGCUCUUGGCCUCCAUCCUGGCCAAGCGUGGACAUGCAUUUGUCCAGGUCACUGAAUGGGAGCAUCAAAGAGGGUACGGAAAUUCCCCCAAAGGGACAAAUGAGGUACAAACCACAGGCUCCCUUUUCAUCUUGCUCCUGCUCCCAGAACCCAGGUCCUCGGGCGGCUGCUCAGAAGAGCUCAGCUCCCACCCGGGCUCAGGGAAGAGAUCAGGCUGUGGAGAGCCUUUGAAGGGUUGGGAGGAAGAGGCUGGAGACUUUCUGAAAGGGCUCCCGGCAAAAGCGUCCCCAGGGAAAUGCUCCCGGGUGUCUGGACUGCCAGCUUUGAAGGUGCAGAAGUUUGGCGGGCUAGUUUAGUCUGUCGUUUUUUUUUUCCAUUAAUAAAAAUUAGGAUAGGAAAGAAAUUAUCAUAAUCCAACAUUGACAAUGAAGCUUUCCCAUUUACUUCUCUUUCUGUAAGGGUUUUUUAGCAAUCAAAAUGAUUUAUGAUUAAUACAGUGCAUAUUAAAACUUUUAACCUGGUACCUUCAUAAAGUAAAAAAUGUUCCCAACAUAUUACAUUUUUAAUCACAUGAGUUAAUUACUCUUUAGGGAGGCUUUGGAAAUUCUGGAAAGGAGGGUAUUACGGAUUUCAAAGAAUGAGACUGAAACUGUCAUUUUAAUGAGAAUGCAAAUGAGAUUGCUGAGGUUCAGUGAAGGUCACAGCGGCUUCAUCAUCAAGUUAUUACAGCCAUUUAUUGCCAGUAACAAAUGAAUAUUAAAAGCUAUUGUUUUAACAGAUUAGACCUCCAAAUUAUUAUUAUUUCAAAAUUUCCCGGGUGUCUGGAAUAUAAUUUAAAAAAUAUGAAACGCUAAGAUUCUCUGCAGACCUACAGUCCUCUCAUGAGCCCGAUGGUUUUUAUAGAGAUGUGGGUCUCUCUUUCGCCGAGUGUCAGAGCUUACAGGAGUAUCUGCAGUGACAGUGGUCAGGUGCUUGCUCUCCCCAUAGUGGUCCUGAGAGGAGGUCCCACAAGCCUCUCCAAGCUGUGUUCUCGGGGUCUCUGGGCAGGGGCCCAGGGUGGCAAGGUAGCCCCUGCACCCGGGGAUCUGAGAUCUCUGAUGGUAGAGGUAAGAGAAGGCUGUUCCAGCGGCUGUCAUGGCAGCAGGAGGUCAGACGACUCCCACUACACGGCCACCCAGUCCUGGACACCUGUCCCUGCCCCACCCACUGCUGUCUCUUAGCAACCAGCCCAGGGCCUGGCACAAGGGGCUCUGUGGAUGCCGAGUGAAGGGAGGGAGGAUGGAUGAAGGAAUGAAGGAAUGAAAGGAUACUGGCUGGUGGCGUGGGGCUGGCGGUGGGCUCAGGGCUCUUUCUAAGCGGCAUGGCCAGCUUCCCAGGCGCCUGGACAUUCUCCUCCCUCAUCCCUUUCCCUCUCAGAGCAAUCCCUUGUCUCGCCAGCAGAGCAAGUGGAGCUCAGCCCUGGUGUUCAGACUGUGUCCUGAAAGGGGUUUCUGGGGAGGGCGGCUGCUCCCUGAUGGAGGACACGAGCUCCCAGCUCAUUCCUGCCUCUCACUCUCACAACAUAGGUGUUCAAGCUUCUCUGUGUCUUCAGAAGUG